rnacentral:rRNA from 1 species
UACGGAGGAUGCAAGCGUUAUCCGGAUUUAUUGGGUUUAAAGGGUGCGCAGGUUGUUUGAUAAGUCAGUGGUGAAAGUCUGUCGCUUAACGGUAGGAUUGCCAUUGAUACUGUUGGACUUGAAUAUGGAUGAGGUAGGCGGAAUGUGUAGUGUAGCGGCGAAAUGCAUAGAUAUUACACAGAACACCGAUUGCGAAGGCAGCUUACUAAUCCAUCAUUGACGCUGAGGCACGAAAGCGUGGGGAUCAAACA